UCCAGAUAAUCAGCCGGUGCUUAGGGCUCAUAUAUACCGGACAACGGCGCCUCACCUCGGCCAGUCUGGCUGAAAAUCACAGCUGGCUGUGACGUCAAUGUAGUGUUUAAACUGUGGAUAAAAUUCAUUUCGGGUAAAUUUAACGGGCAAUCUUUGGUCUUAUAAGUAUAUAAGCAGUGUUUCUAUGUAUAAUUUGUUUGUAAUUCGUAAAUAUUAAUUACAAAAGGAUUAAUACGAACUGGGUUUGGACAUAACUUCAGCUUUAGGACCUUAGGAGGUCGCAUAUCUAGGAUGCAUUUGUCAUCAAGACUGUCUUAUUUCAGCAUAUUAACAAGUUGACUUUUAUUCUUAGUUAAUCGUAAAUUGUUGUAAUAUGCGUAUGACUUGCGAAUGUAAUACUUAGUUAACUUAAACAAACCAGGCUUAAUGGAGAAUGCCGUCUGCACAGUCUGAACCUUCGAACUCAGAAACGGCCUGCAAUUGGUUGUCCAGCUGUAACUCAUUUUAAGUGACAGAAAAACUGACCAAUCAUAUUGUUCAUCUGAAUGGGUGGGUUCUCUUCAUCCACUCGCUCGCUCUGAGGACUUUCGUGUUUUAAAGAUAAGUUGGACAUUACUGCGGUCUUUUUCGGUUUAUUUAGUUUUGUGUUAAUUAUAUACACAAAGUAUUCGAUUCAAAUGUUAAUGUAAAACUAUUAUCCGCUGUAUAUUAAUUGUGUGUUCAAUUGCGAAGUUCGCGUGGCUGACUGAAUUGUUUGACAAAGACGUCUUACUGGAUUUGUCUGCUGCCCUCCGAAACUUGAAGCAAAACUGAAGGGAAAUGCAACGUUAUUCAUUUAAUUCCACAAAAGGCAACGUGAAACAUUGCUGAGGGAGAACUAUAUUCACAACAAAAGGAUAAUGAUGAAGAGGCGGGACUUGGGCAGCUUGUGAUGGCUGUAAUUGUAAAGAAUGGAUCUUCUAGGAGUGGAAGCCCAAGGGAUGCUGGAAUUGUUAUCGAGGCCUUAAAGUUGUUCCCAGGGCAGGCUUUAUCCUCAUUGGAUUGGAUCUAUGCAUUGAAUCUCCAGUAUCCCAGGCAUCUUUUCAGGUGUUUCAGAA